CCCAAAGACACAGAAACCCCAUGACCGCUGACUUAGUGUUAAUGCAAAGUGCAAGUCUAUCCCUCUCUUGACCCUAACAGGCUGCAGCACAUCCGUCAGUACGGUUCAGGAACACUCUUCACUCCGCUGGUAACCCAUAGUGGCUUAUCCACUACUUCUCCGUACGGCAGUCUACCCAUAAAGACGGACGCUGUCCCUGUACUGUCCCUUCCUAGACUUUCUGCACUUCAUCAGUAUAAGGGAGAGUUUGUAGCGGAAUACAGGGUGAUGUGAGAUCUUGAUCAUCGAUUGUCAGAUGAGUGAAGGUUGGUGUUGCUUGGUCUACAGUUUUCUGCAGGAAUUUCCUUAGGCAUGGGAGGACACAACAAAUGAGAAGAGCGAGAAUAAAAAGAAAAAUUAGUAAGGCAAUACCAAUCUGGACUAAAGCUCUCUGCCAACCAGUCAUCCAACCAAACCAUUUUUCCCAGGGAUCAGUAACUCCAGAGUUUCUCUUUAACUCUUC